rnacentral:rRNA from 1 species
ACGCACGCUGGCGGCGUGCUUCACACCUGCAAGUCGAACGGAAAGGCCCUGCUUGCAGGGUACUCGAGUGGCGAACGGGUGAGUAACACGUGGGUGAUCUGCCCUGCACUUCGGGAUAAGCCUGGGAAACUGGGUCUAAUACCGGAUAGGAGCCAUUUUUAGUGUGAUGGUUGGAAAGUUUUUUCGGUGUAGGAUGAGCUCGCGGCCUAUCAGCUUGUUGGUGGGGUAAUGGCCUACCAAGGCGGCGACGGGUAGCCGGCCUGAGAGGGUGGACGGCCACAUUGGGACUGAGAUACGGCCCAGACUCCUACGGGAGGCAGCAGUGGGGAAUAUUGCACAAUGGGCGCAAGCCUGAUGCAGCGACGCCGCGUGGGGGAUGACGGCCUUCGGGUUGUAAACUCCUUUCGCUAGGGACGAAGCUUUUUGUGACGGUACCUAGAUAAGAAGCACCGGCUAACUACGUG